GGGUGUACUUAGAGCCCCGCAAACAAUGGUGUUAAUAGUCAAGUGUUUGGCCGCACUUACGGUUAGUGAAUC
rnacentral:ncRNA from 1 species